rnacentral:rRNA from 1 species
AGAGUUUGAUCCUGGCUCAGGAUGAACGCUGGCGGCGUGCUUAACACAUGCAAGUCGAACGAAGCACCUUGAUUUGAUUCUUCGGAUGAAGAUCUUGGUGACUGAGUGGCGGACGGGUGAGUAACGCGUGGGUAACCUGCCUCAUACAGGGGGAUAACAGUUAGAAAUGACUGCUAAUACCGCAUAAGACCACAGCACCGCAUGGUGCAGGGGUAAAAACUCCGGUGGUAUGAGAUGGACCCGCGUCUGAUUAGGUAGUUGGUGGGGUAACGGCCUACCAAGCCGACGAUCAGUAGCCGACCUGAGAGGGUGACCGGCCACAUUGGGACUGAGACACGGCCCAAACUCCUACGGGAGGCAGCAGUGGGGAAUAUUGCACAAUGGGGGAAACCCUGAUGCAGCGACGCCGCGUGGGCGAUGAAGUAUUUCGGUAUGUAAAGCUCUAUCAGCAGGGAAGAAAAUGACGGCACCUGACUAAGAAGCACCGGCUAAAUACGUGCCAGCAGCCGCGGUAAUACGUAUGGUGCAAGCGUUGUCCGGAUUUACUGGGUGUAAAGGGAGCGUAGACGGAGUGGCAAGUCUGAUGUGAAAACCCGGGGCUCAACCCCGGGACUGCAUUGGAAACUGUCAAUCUAGAGUACCGGAGAGGUAAGCGGAAUUCCUAGUGUAGCGGUGAAAUGCGUAGAUAUUAGGAGGAACACCAGUGGCGAAGGCGGCUUACUGGACGGUAACUGACGUUGAGGCUCGAAAGCGUGGGGAGCAAACAGGAUUAGAUACCCUGGUAGUCCACGCCGUAAACGAUGACUACUAGGUGUCGGGCAGCAAAGCUGUUCGGUGCCGCAGCAAACGCAAUAAGUAGUCCACCUGGGGAGUACGUUCGCAAGAAUGAAACUCAAAGGAAUUGACGGGGACCCGCACAAGCGGUGGAGCAUGUGGUUCAAUUCGAAGCAACGCGAAGAACCUUACCUGCUCUUGACAUCUCCCUGACCGGCAAGUAAUGUUGCCUUUCCUUCGGGACAGGGAUGACAGGUGGUGCAUGGCUGUCGUCAGCUCGUGUCGUGAGAUGUUGGUUAAGUCCCGCAACGAGCGCAACCCCUAUCUUUAGUAGCCAGCGGUUCGGCCGGGCACUCUAGAGAGACUGCCAGGGAUAACCUGGAGGAAGGUGGGGAUGACGUCAAAUCAGCAUGCCCCUUAUGAGCAGGGCUACACACGUGCUACAAUGGCGUAAACAAAGGGAGGCAGAACCGCGAGGUCGAGCAAAUCCCAGAAAUAACGUCUCAGUUCGGAUUGUAGUCUGCAACUCGACUACAUGAAGUGGAAUCGCUAGUAAUCGCGAAUCAGAAUGUCGCGGUGAAUACGUUCCCGGGUCUUGUACACACCGCCCGUCACACCAUGGGAGUCAGUAACGCCCGAAGUCAGUGACCCAACCGUAAGGAGGGAGCUGCCGAAGGUGGGACCGAUAACUGGGGUGAAGUCGGAACAAGGUA